rnacentral:rRNA from 1 species
AUAUCAAUAAGCGCAGGAAAAGAAACUAACUAGGAUGCCUUCAGUAACGGCGAAGCGAAGCAGGCAUMGCUCAAAUUUGUAAUCUGGCGCCUUUGGCGUCCGAGUUGUAUUUUCUAGAAGCGAGUUCGGCGACAGCUCCUACCCAAGUCCGUUGGAACGCGGCGUCAUGGAGGGUGAGAAUCCCGUGAAUGGUAGGAUGUCUGCUGCUAUGUGAACCGCCUUCGAAGAGUCGAGUUGUUUGGGAAUGCAGCUCUAAAUGGGAGGUAAAUUUCUUCUAAAGCUAAAUAUUGGCCAGAGACCGAUAGCGAACAAGUAGAGUGAUCGAAAGAUGAAAAGAACUUUGAAAAGAGAGUUAAACAGUACGUGAAAUUGUUGAAAGGGAAGCGCUUGAGAUCAGACUUCCUGUCUGGACUGUCCUUGCUUUUGCUUGGGUCAACAGUCCAGGCGUGGAGGCCAGCAUCAGUUUUGACGGCCGGAUAAAGGCCUUGGGAAGGUAGCUCCUCUCGGGGAGUGUUAUAGCCCAGGGUGUAAUACGGCCAGUUGGGACUGAGGACCGCGGCUCUGCCUAGGAUGCUGGCGUAAUGGUCUUAAGCGACCCGUCUUGAAACACGGACCAAGGAGUCUAACAUCUGUGCGAGUGUUUGGGUGGAAAACCCGUGCGCGAAAUGAAAGUGAAUGGAGGUGGGAUCCGCAAGGUGCACCAUCGACCGAUCCGGAUUUUUUUGAAGGAUUUGAGUAAGAGCAUAGCUGUUGGGACCCGAAAGAUGGUGAACUAUGCCUGAAUAGGGCGAAGCCAGAGGAAACUCUGGUGGAGGCUCGUAGCGGUUUCUGACGUGCAAAUCGAUUCGUCGAAUUUGGGUAAUAGGGGCGAAAGACUAAUCGAACCAUCUAGUAGCUGGUUCUGCA